AGCACAGUGGCUUAGUGGUUAGCACGUUCAACUCACACCUUCAGUGUCGGGGGUUCGAUUCCCACCGGGGCCC